UCAGAAACUUACAGGAAUUGACGGGGGCCCGCACAAGCGGUGGAGCAUGUGGUUUAAUUCGAUGAUACGCGAGGAACCUUACCUGGGCUCAAAUGUAUGUUGACGUAUUCUGAAAGGGAUACUUCUUCGGACAAUAUACAAGGUGCUGCAUGGUUGUCGUCAGCUCGUGCCGUGAGAUGUUGGGUUAAGUCCCGCAACGAGCGCAACCCUUGCCUUUAGUUGCCAGCAGUUCGGCUGGGCACUCUAAAGGGACUGCCGGUGUUAAACCGGAGGAAGGUGGGGAUGACGUCAAGUCCUCAUGGCCUUUAUGACCAGGGCUACACACGUACUACAAUGGCCGAUACAAAGGGCAGCGACACUGCGAGGUGAAGCCAAUCCCGUAAAAUCGGUCUCAGUCCGGAUUGGAGUCUGCAACUCGACUCCAUGAAGUUGGAAUCGCUAGUAAUCGUGGAUCAGCGUGCCACGGUGAAUACGUUCCCGGGCCUU
rnacentral:rRNA from 1 species